AUUGAACGCUGGCGGAAUGCUUUACACAUGCAAGUCGAACGGUAGAGGGGGCAACCCCUCGAGAGUGGCGAACGGGUGAGUAAUGCCUAGGAAUCUGCCUAGUAGUGGGGGAUAACUUGCCGAAAGGUAAGCUAAUACCGCAUACGUCCUACGGGAGAAAGGAGGGGACCUUCGGGCCUUGCGCUAUUAGAUGCGGCUAGGUCGGGUUAGGUAGUUGGUGAGGUAAUGGGUCACCAAGACCGCGAUCCGCAACUGGUCUGAGAGGAUGAUCAGUCACACUGGAACUGAGACACGGUCCAGACUCCUACGGGAGGCAGCAGUGGGGAAUAUUGGACAAUGGGGGGAACCCUGAUCCAGCCAUGCCGCGUGUGUGAAGAAGGUCUUAGGAUUGUAAAGCACUUUAAGUUGGGAGGAAGAGCAGUUAACUAAUAUUUGACUGUUUUGACGUUACCGACAGAAUAAGCACCGGCUAACUUCGUGCCAGCAGCCGCCGUAA
rnacentral:rRNA from 1 species